UUGCAGGACCUGAACCCGCGGCGGGACAUCUCCUCCUGGCUGGCCCAGUGGUUCCCUAGAACCCCAGCCAGGUCCGUGGUGGCCCUGAAGACCCCCAUCAAGGUGGAGCUGGUGGCAGGGAAAACCUACAGGUGGUGUGUGUGUGGCCGCAGCAAGAACCCUUCUGUGACGGCUCCCACUUCUUCCAACGCACUGGCCUAUCUCCACUCAAGUUCAAGGCCCAAGAGACCCGCAUGGUGGCACUCUGUACCUGCAAGGCCACUCAGAGGCCCCCGUACUGCGAUGGCACCCACAGGAGUGAGCGCGUGCAGAAGGCAGAAGUGGGCUCCCCACUCUGAGGGGGCUGCUGCUGUCCAGCCACAGGUGGCCUUGGCUCCAGGCCUCUGACAGGCACCCCCUUCUGUGGGAAAGGAAACAGGUGCUGAGCCCAAGAGACUCUGGUACCCACUGCUGGCUCAUGAAGGAAGAAUUAUUCCUUAUAACCUAAAAGUCUCCAGUCUGGGGCAGGCGGGAGUGGGCCCUGGUUCAAUGUUUGCUGAUGGGGAAGAUGGCAAAAACAAGCCUGCC
rnacentral:lncRNA from 1 species